rnacentral:rRNA from 1 species
CAGCAGCCGCGGUAAUACGAAGGGGGCUAGCGUUGCUCGGAAUGACUGGGCGUAAAGGGCGCGUAGGCGGUUUUCCAAGUUAGAUGUGAAAUUCCUGGGCUCAACCUGGGGGCUGCAUUUGAUACUGGGAGGCUUGAGUAUGGAAGAGGGUCGUGGAAUUCCCAGUGUAGAGGUGAAAUUCGUAGAUAUUGGGAAGAACACCGGUGGCGAAGGCGGCGACCUGGUCCAUAACUGACGCUGAGGCGCGAAAGCGUGGGGAGCAAACAGGAUUAGAUACCCCUGUAGUCCCUGUCUCUUAUAA